rnacentral:lncRNA from 1 species
GAGGCUUCUAGUAUUGCAGCCCAUCUUUUAGGAUCAUAAAAUUCUGCUUUGAAGUCUGCUGCAAAGUCGGCAUAUGUAAAAUCAGGGCGAUAGUUCCGCUUCAUAAAAUUGACAAUGUCUCGGUUUCCAUUUUUCCAAUUAUUCCAGAACCACACUGCAUUGUAACUGGGAACAGAGAAAACUCCCCAGUGCAUAAAUAUGCCAAGUUUUGCUUCGUCGUACCAGUCCGGAAGGGGUCGGCUUUCUAGGGAGUCCCAGGUUGGUUGAUAUAUCUGGCCGAACGUUAAUAAAGUGCAAUAAAAUAGCAGAAACAGAUAUAGAGCAGCCAUGUUUAAAU